rnacentral:snoRNA from 1 species
CCUCUAGAUGAGGAAGAUAUGAUUGCAUAAAUGGCCUAGAUGGCGAUUAUGAUUCCUUUGUUUCUGCUCUUGGGAUGAGGGUUGAACCCAUCUCCAUGACAGAAUUAUAUGCACAACUACUUAAUUUUGAGA